AUGGGGUUCCAAUCCAAAACUCAGCGUUUGAGCGAGAACUAAAGAGAGAAUAAAAAAUCUGGGCGUAUUGUAUGUGCCAAUUGCCAUUUAGCUAAUAAGCCCGUGGAAAUUGAGGUUCCACAAGCGGUACUUCCUGAUACUGUAUUUGAAGCAGUUGUUCGAAUUCCUUAUGAUAUGCAACUGAAACAGGUUCUUGCUAAUGGUAAAAAAGGGGGGUUGAACGUCGGAGCUGUUCUUAUUUUACCGGAGGGGUUUGAAUUAGCUCCUCCCGAUCGUAUUUCUCCUGAGAUGAAAGAAAAGAUUGGCAAUUUGUCUUUUCAGAGCUAUCGCCCCAAUAAAACAAAUAUUCUUGUGGUAGGCCCUGUCCCUGGUAAAAAAUAUAGUGAAAUAACCUUCCCUAUUCUUUCCCCGGACCCUGCUACUAAGAAGGAUGUUCACUUCUUAAAAUAUCCUAUAUACGUAGGCGGGAACAGGGGAAGGGGUCAGAUUUAUCCCGACGGCAACAAGAGUAACAAUACAGUUUAUAAUGCUACAGCAGCAGGUAUAGUAAGCAAAAUCAUACGAAAAGAAAAAGGGGGGUAUGAGAUAACCAUAACGGAUGCGUCGGAGGGACGUCAAGUGGUUGAUAUUAUCCCUCCCGGACCAGAACUUCUUGUUUCCGAGGGCGAAUCUAUCAAAUUUGAUCAACCAUUAACGAGUAAUCCUAAUGUAGGCGGAUUUGGUCAGGGAGAUGCAGAAAUAGUACUUCAAGAUCCAUUACGUGUCCAAGGACUUUUGUUCUUCUUGGCAUCUGUUAUUUUGGCACAAAUCUUUUUGGUUCUUAAAAAGAAACAGUUCGAGAAGGUUCAAUUGGCCGAAAUGAAUUUCUAGAUUCGCAGAUUUAUCGAUAUCAAGUACGUAAAAAGAACCAAAUUCUUGUUGGCGAUUAUUUAUGAUCAAAAAAAUGAAAUUAUGAAAACUCCUUUGUCUUAUUUAUACUCUUCUUCAAAAUCUACAUUACAUACUCUUUUUCUACGAGAUGCUGGGAAUCCCUUGUACCACAUAGUAUGUAGAUUUUGAAGAAGAGUAUUUGGCUUUCAUUUAUUUUGAUUUAGUUUUUUUUUAAUUGGAGUAGUGUAACUAUGUUACUAUUGCCAGAUUUCACUGCCAUAAAACGUAUCAAUAGUUUUCUAUUCUAAAUAGAAAGAAAGUCAAAUUUGUCUAAAUACUAGACAUAAGGAAGCGGGG